rnacentral:miRNA from 10 species
UACUCUUCUAUUAAUUCUGCAUC